UACGGAGGAUGCAAGCGUUAUCCGGAUUUAUUGGGUUUAAAGGGUGCGCAGGUUGUUUGAUAAGUCAGUGGUGAAAGUCUGUCGCUUAACGGUAGGAUUGCCAUUGAUACUGUUGGACUUGAAUAUGGAUGAGGUAGGCGGAAUGUGUAGUGUAGCGGUGAGAUGCAUAGAUAUUACACAGAACACCGAUUGCGAAGGCAGCUUACUAAUCCAUCAUUGACGCUGAGGCACGAAAGCGUGGGGAUCAAA
rnacentral:rRNA from 1 species